rnacentral:lncRNA from 1 species
GCCGGGCAAAUUGUCUGAAGUCCUCCUUAAGAGGCAAUGAUUGUGAUUGUUUAUUUUUCAAGCCCAAGCAGGUAAAGACCUCAAUGAGGCAAUUGGUGGAAGCCAAGGGGUAUGCAACCUACCCCCCACUAUUCAUGUUGUGUCAUCCCUCUGCUCACACUGCUUUGUGUUGAUGCAUUGGGAUACAAACCAAAAGAUCCUGUGAUAUGCACUGUGUGUCAGAGUCUCUGAGUAUAGAAGGGUUCCCACAUUCUGGACCCAUGCUCAUUUGUCUAUUAGCUCUCCCUGGCCAGGGAUAAGAGCUGUGAGGUCUCAUCCUCACUUCAUCCUUUCAUCUGCUUCACCUUAG